rnacentral:piRNA from 1 species
UUCGGUGGAGCCGUGUAUUGAG